rnacentral:lncRNA from 14 species
CACAUACACAGGAAGACAUGUUUUCCCGGCUUCGCAAGAAUUUUGGGAGAGUGAACGCCGAUUUUGGACAGACUGGAGUGAGGGAAUCUCGCCUUUCAUCAAAAAUAAAUGAUGGACAACGAAAGCUGGCCUGGGGAAUGCUGAACGAUGGGAGACUGACAUCAUCCCCUGGCCCUGUGGUAAUCAACAAGGAGACCAACACGGAGAACACAGAAGAGCAGAGACUGAUUAGACAGCUGCAGUCAGCUACUGAGGAGAGAAAUGAGCUAAGAGAUCUCCUGACUUACGUGACAGAGAGAUACAGGAACAACAGGGCCAGCCGCUACAUCAGGUCAAAUCCAUUUUAUGAAAAAUUGAAGAUAAAGGAGAGGGAGGUCAUGUCAUUACUGCACAACUUAGAGAUGAGGAACAUCGAGCAUUGUGAGAAAUUUCAGGAGCUCCAGAAGGAAAUUAACUUCUAUCGGAACCUGCCCAGCCGGAUCCAUAUGGACAAGAUAUGUAUGCAGAAGAAGUUGUUCCCAUUCAGAAAGGAGAGCAAAGCAGAACAGCUUGAUUCUGCACCGCUGCUACAGAAAUUUUUGUUUGAUUUGAACAAGAAAGAUAAAGACGAACAGGAGAAAACCAGCAACCUCCAGACCAAGCAACAUCUGGAUAACACCACUUGAGAGACCACUUGGGAACUGCAUUGCCAUUUUGCCUGCUAGAGGAGAAACAGCAAUAUAACUGUGCUUCUAAAUGUUCACUAAGAAUAUGCUGUUUAGAAAUAUUUUUGUUAUGAUCUUAAAUGAAGUUUUUGUUUUGUUAUUUCAUAGUUAUAUGUUCUUGUUAAUAUUUUUCACAUCUGAAAAUACUUUUAUAUAUUUAUAUUAAUAUUCAUAUUAAUCAUUUUUGUUUUAAAUUGUAUUCCUUAUGAAUAAAACUUGAUUUGUAACUCUUGACUCUUUAGACCAUCUUGCUUAUUCAAGUGUUCUGCUCCCUCUUGUGCUCUUAGAACUGACAGCUAAUGGUGGAUUCUGCAUGGUCGAGAGUUCCUGGGCUAAAUAGUAAAUUCAAAGCCACCAAUGCUUACCUAGAGUGAUAGUGUGUUUUGUGUGGAUAAUGUGUUCUUUUCUUGGAUGCACAUUUUAUGAUGUGAUCACUGCCAUACUUUAUCCAUGCGGUCAUGUUUUCUGCUAAUCUUUUUUUUUGAAACAUUUUUUUAAUUUAUUUAAUAAUUAAUAAUAAUUCUUUGGUUUCCGGGCAA